CUUCUGCUGGAGAACUGCUUUCCUCGGGAGCCCUGUCCUUCAUCCAGGCCACCUCAUGAGGCUCUUAUGGAGAGCUGCUUUCCUGGGCAGCACCUGCCUCCUCCCAGGCCACCCUGGGCUUGCUGGGGGGUCUCUUCUCCAUCCUGAUAGAAAAUGACUAGAAGUAGGGAAGUGGGAAGCAAGAAGCUUUGGGGAAAUAACUCAGCACUACAGGGCAACAGGAAAAGUCUUGGAGUGUGGCCAGAAGAUCCACAAGGCAACAGGGAAAGCCUUGGGCUGUGCUCAGAAGAUCUUCAUCAGCUCUGUGCUCCUGUCCUGUCAUGCCACUGUCCUGAUGGGCACUGUGGCUGACACUGCAGCUGUGCUGACCACACGUGCUGUAACGGAGUGUCCCAGUGUUAAACUUACCCCCUGCUCCAAGUAGCCAGACAGUGAAUGCAAUUAUUGAAAGGCCAGCAGAUUAGGGUGAAAGUGUACAAUAACCACGGUUGAUAGGCUAUAGCAGAAGUGAAGACAGCAUGUAACAGAGCUGCCUUUUUUCCAGACCAAACACCCACAGCUUCCUCAGUCGCUCUUCAUCAGACUUGUUGCUCCAGAGCCUUCCCCAGCUCCAUUGCUCUUCUUUGGACACACUACAGCACCUCAAUGUCUUUCUCGUAGAGAGUGGCCCAAGCAUAACUUACUGCCAAACUAUAUACUACAAAACCCACACUGUAUCCAUAUCUGUUGAAAAUUAAUAUGUCUCCAUUGGGUUUAGCAGAACCUGCAGGUCCAGUUCAUUAUAAUUCAGAUCUAAAAUAUGAUAAUAUGAGAAUUAUGAUAUUUUAUUUUACUCAUCUACCUGGAUAUUUCUCCUUCCUCAGACAUGUUACAAUAUAUUUAGAGCCUUCUUUGAUACAUUUAUUGUCUUUCUACUGACAACCAUAAUUCCCCAUACCAGCUAUCAUUAAUGGAAAAAAUAUAUUUCAAGGGAGCUUCAUAAUGUUGCAGUGACAACUAAGAAGAAAUACUUCUAAAACUGUCUCAUAGCUUGUUUCAAGAUUUGUUCUUCCUGAGAAAUACUCCACUGUACCCACCUUUCAGAAUGAAAGAGAAUACUUCUAAGAUGACAUGGAACCUCUAGGAGAUAGUGGAUAGAGGUGGGACUGACCAGUUCAUGAUACAUCUCCAUGGGGAGAGCAAGGCAAUUGAUAUGUAUAAUGAAGCUGGAGAAGAGUCUGGCAGUGAGAGUGCCAUCUUUGAGAACAUGGGAAAGGUUUUUGAUAGAGCCUGGCACAAACUUGCAAGGGGAAGACAGCUCAGUAUGUGUGUAGAUGGCCAGACUGCAGUUCAUGGUUUGAGAACAGUGUUUGCUUUAUUUCAGAUGCAAAGGAUGUGCACCACAAAACUAGAAGUGACUGGCUCAAAAUUCUUUAAACCUUCUGUUUAACAAAAAGGACUGAUGAGUGUGCUCUGCCCUUUGCUGUGGUUCCUACAAAACACAGAACAAGUCUCUGUUCCCUGGUUAAAAUAACCCUGGAGACUGAAAUUGGUGGUCAUAACAUUUGACUUCCCUAUGGGGUCCUGACUUGCCACAAAAUGCCACCACUGAAACAAUACAAGGCCAUCCAACCUUGGAAAAGCAACACAGAAUUUCAUACGCAAAAAAUUCUAGAAACUCACUGCCAGCUGAGAUCACUUCAGAUCUUACCACCUUCCAAGCUAAACGCACUAUAGACUUCCUUGAUGUUUAAUAUUUCCACAAUUAGUUCUUAAGAUGAAAGCACCACCUCACUAGAAAUCGUCUUCAUCCCAUGCAGAUAAAUUCACAAACCUAUCAAGCUCCUUCUCCCACAAACUGGGAAUUAAUUAUUAUACUCCAUCCUAUGCUUGGGAAAUGCAUUCUUUGCUACUGAAGGCGUCUACGUGGAUAAGCAGACAGACUGAGGAUAGAUUGAAGCUGUUCAGAAAGUUUUAAACCUGCCUUCCUGUUGGUUUAUCCUGUAUGUUGAUGCAUCACUGCUUGAACUUCAUGUAGAUCAUAACAGGACAUCAGAGGAAACCUAUGAAGUUCCUGGGGUGGGAGCUGUGGAGAGCAAUGAGAUCGUCCUUCAGCCUCCUCUUGUCCAAACUAGACAAGCCCAGAGCCCUCAGCCGCUCCUCACAGGAUGUGCCUUCCAGCCCUGUGACCAGCUUUGUUGUGCUCCUUGGGAUGCAUUCAAGGGCAGUCACAUCCUUCAUAACAGACAUGCUGAGUACCUCCUGUGGACUUUGAGAGCUGUUCCUCUGAAAAUCAGGUCACUGAUGUGAUGCUGGAAGGAGAAAGCACAAGGAAAAAGAAGGGCUGUGAUUUUUAAACACAAGUGUUUAUAUGAUCUGGGGAAGAAAAUAAAAUGAAUAAAUAAA